CUAACUUCUUUUUCCUCUUUCAGCAAUAUGUUAUGUUGCAUGACAUGGUGGCAACUCAUAGUACCGUAAGAGUUUCAGUUUGUAGAGUAAAUGAAGAAAUAGAAGAAAUCUUUUCUACCGACCUUGUGCCAGGAGAUGUCAUGGUCAUUCCAUUAAAUGGGACAAUAAUGCCUUGUGAUGCUGUGCUUAUUAAUGGUACCUGCAUUGUAAACGAAAGCAUGUUAACAGGAGAAAGUGUUCCAGUGACAAAGACUAAUUUGCCAAAUCCUUCAGUGGAUGUGAAAGGAAUAGGAGAUGAAUUAUAUAAUCCAGAAACACAUAAACGACAUACUUUGUUUUGUGGGACAACUGUUAUUCAGACUCGUUUCUACACUGGAGAACUCGUCAAAGCCAUAGUUGUUAGAACAGGAUUUAGUACUUCCAAAGGACAGCUUGUUCGUUCCAUAUUGUAUCCCAAACCAACUGAUUUUAAACUCUACAGAGAUGCCUACUUGUUUCUACUGUGUCUUGUGGCAGUUGCUGGCAUUGGGUUUAUCUACACUAUUAUUAAUAGCAUUUUAAAUGAGGUACAAGUUGGGGUCAUAAU
rnacentral:sRNA from 1 species